AAGGGCUAUUAAUACUCCAUAGGUUUAUAAACUAAAUUAAAGAGGCUCCUCUGGGGCCUUGCGUAAAACUAGGAAUAUGUCCUAUUAGGUAGUUGGCGGGGUAAAGGCCCACCAAGCCAAUGAUGGGUAGCUGGACUGAGAGGUUGAACAGCCGCAAUGGGAUUGAGAUAUGGCCCAUAUUCCUACGGGAAGCAGCAGUGAGGAAUUUUUCACAAUGGACGAAAGUCUGAUGGAGCAAUACCACGUGAACGAUGAAGGUCUUCUGAUUGUAAAGUUCUUUUAUUUAGGAAAAAAAGCGUGCUAGGAAAUGAGCGCGCCUUGAUGGUACUAAUUGAAUAAGUGACAGCUAACUAUGUGCCAGCAGCUGCGGUAAAACAUAGGUCACGAGCAUUAUCCGGAUUUAUUGGGCGUAAAGGAAGCGUAGGCGGGGAGGUUGAUCCAUUGUUAAAAGCAUUUGCUUAACAAAUGUGUGCAUUGGAGAUCGCCUCCCUAGAGUUAAUCAGGGGGUACUGGAAUUCAAUGUGUAGCGGUGGAAUGCGUAGAUAUAUUGAGGAACACCAGAGGCUAAGGCGAGUGCCUAGGAUAUAACUGACGCUGAGGCUUGAAAGCGUGGGGAGCAAAUGGGAUUAGAUACCCCAGUAGUCCACGCCGUAAACGAUGAGCAUUGGGCAUUUGACAUCUGGUCGAGUGCUGUAGCUAACGCGUUAAAUGCUCCGCCUGGGUAGUAUAUAUGCAAAUAUGAAACUCAAAGAAAUUGACGGGGACCUGAACAAGUGGUGGAGCAUGUUGCUUAAUUCGAUAAUACACGAAAAACCUUACCAAGGCUUGU
rnacentral:rRNA from 1 species